GUAGCUUUGCAGCCAUUUGGCUAAGAUCAAGUGUAGUACCUGUUCUUACCACAACAAGUUAUGGCUUAUGGCAGAAUGUCUCAUUUCAGCAUUGCUUGUGUUAACUACCAUUAGUCAGGCCUUGUAAACAAGGGAACUAUCAGUCUGGCUUUAUAUUAAUAUCAUCUGUUUACUUCUGUGCCAUUUUUAG